rnacentral:rRNA from 1 species
UACGGGGGGGGCAAGCGUUGUUCGGAAUUACUGGGCGUAAAGGGCUCGUAGGUGGCCAACUAAGUCAGACGUGAAAUCCCUCGGCUUAGCCGGGGAACCGCGUCUGAUACUGGAUGGCUUGAGUUCGGGAGAGGGAUGCGGAAUUCCAGGUGUAGCGGUGAAAUGCGUAGAUAUCUGGAGGAACACCGGUGGCGAAGGCGGCAUCCUGGACCGACACUGACACUGAGGAGCGAAAGCCAGGGGAGCAAACGGG